CAGCCGCCGCGGUAAUACCGGCGGCCCGAGUGGCGGUCACUAUUAUUGGGCUUAAAGCGUCCGUAGCCGGGUUGGGAAGUCCUCCGGGAAAUCUGGCCGCUUAACGGUCAGAAUGCCGGAGGAUACUCCCAGCCUAGGGAGCGGGAGAGGCCGAGGGGAUUCCCGGAGUAGGGGUGGAAUCCUAUAAUCCCGGGAGGAACACCUGUGGCGAAGGCGCUCGGCUGGAACGCGUCCGACGGUGAGGGACGAAGGCCAGGGGAGCAAACCGGAUUAGAUACCCGGGUAGUCCUGGCUGUAAACGAUGCGGACUUUGUGUCGGACAAGCUAUGAGCUUGUCCGGUGCCGGAGGGAAACCGUUAAGUCCGCCGCCUGGGGAGUACGGCCGCAAGGCUGAAACUUAAAGGAAUUGGCGGG
rnacentral:rRNA from 1 species